AUUGAACGCUGGCGGCAUGCCUUACACAUGCAAGUCGAACGGCAGCACGGGAGCAAUCCUGGUGGCGAGUGGCGAACGGGUGAGUAAUAUAUCGGAACGUGCCCAGUCGUGGGGAUAACGUAGCGAAAGCUACGCUAAUACCGCAUACGAUCUAUGGAUGAAAGCGGGGGAUCGCAAGACCUCGCGCGAUUGGAGCGGCCGAUAUCAGAUUAGGUAGUUGGUGAGGUAAAGGCUCACCAAGCCGACGAUCUGUAGCUGGUCUGAGAGGACGACCAGCCACACUGGGACUGAGACACGGCCCAGACUCCUACGGGAGGCAGCAGUGGGGGAAUUUUUGGACAAUGGGCGCAAGCCUGAUCCAGCAAUGCCGCGUGCAGGAUGAAGGCCUUGG
rnacentral:rRNA from 1 species